GACGAACGCUGGCGGCGUGCCUAAUACAUGCAAGUCGAGCGGGCUUAUUCGAGUAGCUUGCUAUUUGGAUAAGUCAGCGGCGGACGGGUGAGUAACGCGUGGGCAACCUGCCUUUCACUGGGGGAUAACACAGGGAAACCUGUGCUAAUACCGCAUGACAUCACGUAGGGUAUCCUAUGUGAUCAAAGGAGAGAUCCGGUGGAAGAUGGGCCCGCGUCCAAUUAGCUGGUUGGUGAGGUAAAGGCUCACCAAGGCGACGAUUGGUAGCCGAACUGAGAGGUUGAUCGGCCACAUUGGGACUGAGACACGGCCCAGACUCCUACGGGAGGCAGCAGUGGGGAAUAUUGCGCAAUGGGGGGAACCCUGACGCAGCAACGCCGCGUGAAGGAAGAAGGUCUUCGGAUUGUAAACUUCUUUGAUGAGGGACGAAUAAAGUGACGGUACCUCAAAAACAAGCCACGGCUAACUACGUG
rnacentral:rRNA from 1 species